CUUGAUCGACCCCAACCACAGCGGCUCACUGCGCUCUUGCCCGUAGGUCGCCAACAACGCUUGGGCCUC
rfam:Mycobacterium sp. 1164966.3 contig_67, whole genome shotgun sequence.